UACGGAGGGUGCGAGCGUUGUCCGGAUUUAUUGGGUUUAAAGGGUGCGUAGGUGGCUUUAUAAGUCAGUGGUGAAAUACAGCCGCUCAAACGGGUUGAGGUGCCCAUUGAUACUGUAGAGCUUGAAAACAAGUGGAGGCUGCCGGAAUGGGAUGGUGUAGCGGUGAAAUGCAUAGAUAAUCAUCCAGAACACCGAUUGCGAAGGCAGGUGGCUACCGUUUGAUUUGACACUGAGGCACGAAAGCAUGGGGAGCAAACAGG
rnacentral:rRNA from 1 species